UACGUAGGGGGCGAGCGUUGUCCAGAAUCAUUGGGCGUAAAGAGCGUGUAGGCGGCUUGGCAAGUCUGACGUGAAAGCCCGCGGCUCAACCGCGGAUUGUCGUUGGAAACUGCCUCGCUAGAGUCCGGAAGAGGAGAGCGGAAUUCCUGGUGUAGCGGUGGAAUGCGCAGAUAUCAGGAAGAACACCCGUGGCGAAGGCGGCUCUCUGGGACGGUACUGACGCUGAGACGCGAAAGCGUGGGGAGCGAACAGG
rnacentral:rRNA from 1 species